UACGAAGGGGGCUAGCGUUGUUCGGAAUCACUGGGCGUAAAGGGCGCGUAGGCGGCUUUAUAAGUCGGGGGUGAAAGCCUGUGGCUCAACCACAGAAUUGCCUUCGAUACUGGAUAUCUUGAGUUCGGGAGAGGUGAGUGGAAUGCCGAGUGUAGAGGUGAAAUUCGUAGAUAUUCGGCGGAACACCAGUGGCGAAGGCGACUCACUGGCCCGAUACUGACGCUUGAGG
rnacentral:rRNA from 1 species